rnacentral:rRNA from 1 species
AUGAACGCUGGCGGCGUGCCUAAUACCUGCAAGUCGAGCGAACAGACGAGGAGCUUGCUCCUCUGACGUUAGCGGCGGACGGGUGAGUAACACGUGGAUAACCUACCUAUAAGACUGGGAUAACUUCGGGAAACCGGAGCUAAUACCGGAUAACAUGUUGAACCGCAUGGUUCAACAGUGAAAGACGGUCUUGCUGUCACUUAUAGAUGGAUCCGCGCCGCAUUAGCUAGUUGGUAAGGUAACGGCUUACCAAGGCAACGAUGCGUAGCCGACCUGAGAGGGUGAUCGGCCACACUGGAACUGAGACACGGUCCAGACUCCUACGGGAGGCAGCAGUAGGGAAUCUUCCGCAAUGGGCGAAAGCCUGACGGAGCAACGCCGCGUGAGUGAUGAAGGUCUUCGGAUCGUAAAACUCUGUUAUUAGGGAAGAACAAAUGUGUAAGUAACUAUGCACGUCUUGACGGUACCUAAUCAGAAAGCCACGGCUAACUACGUG